rnacentral:rRNA from 1 species
AGUGAACGCUGGCGGCAGGCCUAAUACAUGCAAGUCGAACGGCAGCACAGCAGAGCUUGCUCUGUGGGUGGCGAGUGGCGGACGGGUGAGGAAUACGUGGGAAUCUGCCCAGUCGUGGGGGAUAACGUAGGGAAACUUACGCUAAUACCGCAUGCGCCCUUCGGGGGAAAGCCGGGGACCUUCGGGCCUGGCGCGAUUGGAUGAGCCCACGUCGGAUUAGCUAGUUGGCGGGGUAAAGGCCCACCAAGGCGACGAUCCGUAGCUGGUCUGAGAGGAUGAUCAGCCACACUGGAACUGAGACACGGUCCAGACUCCUACGGGAGGCAGCAGUAGGGAAUAUUGGACAAUGGGCGCAAGCCUGAUCCAGCCAUGCCGCGUGAGUGAAGAAGGCCUCGGGUUGUAAAGCUC